rnacentral:SRP_RNA from 2 species
GCUGGGUGUGGUGGCUCGUGCCUGUAAUCCCAGCUACUCAGGAGGCUGAGGCAGGAGAAUCACUUGAACCCAGGAGGUGGAGGUUGCAGUGAGCCGAUAUCUCGCCACCGCACUCCAGCCUGGGUGACAGAGUGAGACUCUGUCUCAA